rnacentral:rRNA from 1 species
UACGUAGGGUGCAAGCGUUGUCCGGAAUUAUUGGGCGUAAAGAGCUCGUAGGCGGUUUGUCGCGUCUGCUGUGAAAACCCGCGGCUUAACCGUGGGCUUGCAGCCGAUACGGGCGGGCUGGAGUUCGGUAGGGGAGAUGGAAUUCCUGGUGUAGCGGUGAAAUGCGCAGGAUAUCAGGAGGAACACCCGGUGGCGAAGGCGGUUCUCUGGGACGGUACUGACGCUGAGACGCGAAAGCGUGGGGAGCGAACAGG